rnacentral:rRNA from 1 species
GACCUGGCUCAGAUUGAACGCUGGCGGCAUGCUUUACACAUGCAAGUCGAACGGCAGCAUGAGGAGCUUGCUCCUUGAUGGCGAGUGGCGCACGGGUGAGUAAGACAUCGGAACGUGUCCUUUUGUGGGGGAUAACUGUCCGAAAGGACAGCUAAUACCGCAUAAGACCUGAGGGUGAAAGCGGGGGAUCGCAAGACCUCGCGCGAAAGGAGCGGCCGAUGGCCGAUUAGCUAGG